ensembl:lncRNA
UGUGCAUUUGCCUGGAGACUAUUGCUAAAAUGUUCUCAGUUCAUUUUUUGAUGUUAGUCAUGUUAUUAUCCUGUAAUGUUACAGAUGUGAUCACUCAUUUUAAAAAAAAAAAAGUUGAAUUUUAUUUUAAUUUGCCCUUUGUCUUUAUUUUCAAAGUUCCAGCAUUUUAGCAGUCUAGGAAAAUGCUUCAGGCUUUUAUUUAUUUAUUUUUUCAGAUUAAAACAAUGUGUGCCUGUAGCAUUCAUCAUUUAAGAAAAUAGUGUUUUUUUCUUUCAGAUCCCAAUUUCCACUCAUUAUUAGAGAGCUGAAUUCUAAAUCAAAGAUUGUGCAGAAGAGAUGUGCAACCUGAAUAAAACAUUUCCAGAAGAGCCUGAAUAAUGGUCCUGAAUAAAGGGACCUGCAAUGUUCUUGAAUGUAAUUGGAAAAAAUUCAAGUGUGUGUACUCAGGAGCACAUGUACUAAGAAGAGAUGCUGUGAAUCACGUAAUCGAUUGCAUUUUCAAAAUCUUGGGUCCAAAUCCAUGUUACGCAUCUACUAAGCAUACCGUGUAAUCCUGGCAUCUGUUUUUUGCACAGUAAUCCAUUGCCAACCACAGGUCAUUAGAGAAGAGAUAGUGAAUGCUUGGCUCUUUAAGUAUAAUGUGUUUAGAAUACUUUAAGAAUUUCCUAUACAUGGAAAGAUUUGGAAGAGUCCUUCAUUCAUAGGUGAGUAUGAGAUUAUUUGAAGGACUGCUAAUUUCUAGGACUUGGAGUCUGGAAGCAUAGUUUCUCAAAAUAUAGUGAAUGAAUUGCUGCUGGGACAUAACGUUAUUUUAGGUGGUAGAUGAACAAACACCUUUAAACUUUAAUAGCUGAGAUUUUUAAAAUUUUAAAUAUGAGGUGGAAAAAUAUAGCUAAUUAAACACACUGGAGAUUUAGUGAGAUAACUGAAAUUAAUCUAUAGAUAUAUCUAUUAUUUUAUAUAUAUAUACACACUCCCCAUAGUAGCAUCACCACCUCCCUUUACUCUUUGCCAAAGGUCAUUGGAGAAGAUAAUGAGUCCUUGGCUCUUUAAGGGUAAGGUGUUUUGAACAUUUUAAGAAUUUCCUAUACAUGGAAAGAUUUGGAACAGUCCUUCUUUCAUAGGUACCAUAUGCUAAUAUUAUAAUAUAUUUAUUGUAUAUAAUAUAUACAUGCACUAUAAUAGGUAGUGACUAUAGCAAAUUCCUGUGUUCUUUUUCAUGAUAUAUUAACACCUCUUACAAGGAUAUGGCAGCCAAAAUUAUGAAGAGAUUAUACUCAUGGCUAAACUUUGAGAAAUACUGCCCUUAAAGUGAAAGAUUGGUUAGGUAAAUGAUAUAUUCUUCAUUCAGUUCAUAUGUCUUCCCUCAGUCAGGGAUACUGAGCAUUUUGCUACUCGCAACACCAAUGAACAAGAGAGAGUGCAUUAGGAUAACAUUUUCCAGUGAAAAAACAUAAGCACUAUGUACUGCCUACUAAUAUAUUAUUUUGCUUAUUCUGGUUUAAGGUAACACAAGAAUUGUUUUUAAAUUGUAAAUUGUGCAGAAAGUUAAUCAGUUUGAAGGAGGGAUUUUUUAUUUCUGGCUACAAAAUUUGAGUAUCCAGGGGAUUACAGGUGGGUAAAUCUGUUUGCAUAUUUAUUCUUUCAAUUGUAUAUUCAAUAAAUAUUUAUUAGGUUUCUAUUUUUUCUUUCAGUUGACUAUAAAACACUUAUCAUAUACAUGUUUUACAAAAAUUAUUGGCCUCAUUUUUGUUGAUAUCAAAGAAAAGAGAGACGUCCACAAUUGUUUGUUAGGUACAAUUAUCUGAACAGAUUUGUGUGCUUUUUUUGUCAUAAGAAUAGAAAACAGUGUUUUGCAAGUUGUGGGUCAUGCACCAUCUGGAGGAAAGUCUCCUGAGAUUCUUCCCAAUAUUCAAGUUCUCUUGGCGGGGUCUGGAAGUCUACAAUUUUAACUAACUUUUAGGUGAUUUUUAUUCAUACUUGAAAGUUUAGGAGCCACUAAGAAAGAGAGUGGGUAGUCUACCCUUUGUGCAGAUUUCCACAUGUAAAUGGAUGUUAAACAUUUCCUUAAAUAAUUGUUAAGUAUAGUUCUACAAUUUGAGGAUUAGCUGAUUGUUUUUAUUCUUUCAUUCUCAACUCCUUCAGCCCCUGCCCAAGGCAUACACACAUAGGUCUCUAACACUUUAAGCUAAAAUGGCUUUGAAAAAUGUGGAUUCUUCUACUAUUAUGUCCUUAUAUAAACUUGAAUAACACCCAAAUGCAAUGUUUUAAUUUCGCUUGAUUUUCAAAAUGUUUAAUUAAAUAAACAACACACACAUGUGCGCAUGCACACACACACACACACACACUGUAAAUAUGGAAGCUGAAAAACAAAAUAUCUUCACAGGAUACUACAGAUUGAAUAUCUGAUUGUGCUUCAAGAUAUUUUCAUUGAUUCAUUUGAUACAUUUUCUGUUGAGCUGAUAAAAAAUUAUCAGAACAAUCGUUGGUUUUAGGAUAAUUUUAUUGCUACUUCUAGCUGUACCCUGGCAAGGAAAAAAAAAAUAAAGAAAAAUGUAAACACAUCUUGUUCUAAUGCAGAGAUGAAUAGCACUGAAAGAGUCCCAGUGUGGCACUUCUGGCUUUGGUCAACAAGGCUGAAAAGCAACCUGGGACAAACAAGGGAAAAUGGAGGGGAAAUGUUCCCAUAAAUUCAAAAUUAAGUUCCUUCUUCAAUUUCCGUGAAACAAACUCCCUGUGGUGAACAUCUGGCAGGCCAUUAACUUUUGUUACUUUAUUUUAUUAAAAAAUCUUAAGGUGAGAAAAAUUUCUCUGUUUGGAGACUUGAUUUAGCAUUCAGGCUACAAUUCUAGGCCAUUGUGUUGUCAUUUGCAUGGUACCCAUGAUCCAAUAGGGCAUAUCACACUUACAGCUUCUACUGUUUUCCAUCAAAGAUUGUGGUUAUUUGUCAUUCUUUAAAAGUCAUUAAUUCUGAGUUAUUUUUUAAAUAUAUAAAUCAGCUGAUUGGUGGUCCAUAUCUGCUGGAAGAAAAUGAUUGCAAGAUUCUUCAUACUUUGUAGGCAUUUUCUUACUUGCAUUUUUUCACUGCAUUAUUUUGUACAGGAGUUUGAACAUUAAAACUAUUUACAUAGAACUUUUUCAAUGAUCCAUCAGAAGGAUGUGAACUGUUGAUUGUACCAUUUUCUUUAUUUGCACAGCUGCUAUAACCUUCAAUCUAAAUUAUUUUUUUACUCUCUUUCUCUUUUCUUUCUCUUUUUUUUUCUUUUGUGAGCUAAUUGUCACUUUCGUAAGUAAAUGUUCGUAUUCCACCCCCAGAACUAUUCUUGCACAUUACCUUUAAGCCAUUGCAAUUGCUUAUUAGUCAGGUUAUUUUCUGUGAAAAGUUCUGAGUAAAUGUUAAACAAAUGAAAAUUAUUUACUUUUUCUUGAGUAUAAUGUCAUUUAUGAACAUGCAUCUUUAUAUUUCCUUGAUUAUAUGUGUGCAUCUAUCUGUCUAUCUAAUCUCAUCUGUCUUUCUUAUUUAGCAUAUGAGGUGUGUUAGUCUGUUCUCAUGCUGCUAAUAAAUACAUACCCAAGACUGGAAAAUUUAUAAAGGAUUGAGGUUUAAUGGACUCACAGUUCCACAUGGUUGGGGAGACGUCACAAUCAUGGCAGAAGAUAAAGGAAGAGCAAAGAGACACCUUACAUGGCGGCAGGCAAGAGAGUGUGUGCAGGGGACCUCCCAUUUAUAAAACCAUAAGAUCUCAUGAGACUUAUUCACUAUCAUGAGAGCAGCAUGGGAAAGACCCACUCCCAUGACUCAAUUACCUCCCACUGAAUCCCUCCCAUGACACAUGGGAAUUAUGGGAGCUACAGUUCAAGAUGAGAUUUGGGUGGGGACACAGCUAAACCAUAUCAUGAGGUUUAAAUAAAGCAGUUGUAAGUUAAAAAUGUACUCAAUUUUAUGAAUAAAUCUAAUAAGUAUUUUCCCCCUACAGCAAUACACAAGUAUAGUUUAUACUUAUUAUAAUUGCCUUGCCCCUGGACAGUGAUACAGUACUUAUUGCAAGCUGCUAACUGAUCCUUAAUCUUUUAUGAGUAAAAACAUACACAUUUUCUUCUUCUUUUGGCUUUUUGUUGAAUGAAAUGCAGAAAAACUUCAAUAUUGU